UUCUUUUUUAAUAAUGACAGGCUUUUACAUGUUCUGAAUGAAUAUUGACAUCUGUUUUGACAGUAUUUGUUCAGUGUUUUCAUAGUAAUUAUUUUUGAAAAAGGAAAAAACAGUUUGAAAUGCUACUCUAGGCUGAGUUCCAAUGAGGAUAAUUACAUGCUACCUCCUACUAAUCCCCUUCCAGCAUUGCUGCUUAUAAUAUUCCUUGGCUGUUGUCUUUAAACUAUCGCUCACUGCUGCUCAGCAGAAGCCACCCUUCCUUUCAGAGGUGGGUAUGAUUCAUCACUGAGUGACAAAGUCUUUGUGUAUUGUGGAAAUGAAGUUGUCCUGGAAUUUCAAAACUGCUCGCUUUCCGUCUAUAUCCCUUCAAUCAGAUCACAAAUGAUCUAGAGUAGGUCUGCUUUCAAAGUUGGGUUUUCAUUUUUCUAGAGGUGAGAAGAAACUGGAGUAUGCUCUUCAAGCUUUAUUGAAGCAGUCCAGAUAUUUCAUCCAUUAGCAGUGGCCACUUUAUGUAAUUUGAAGACCUGUGAGCCUGAUUUUCCCUGACUGUGCUGUCCAAGAAGCAAGAAGCAAGACCAACUGCUAAUACCUAACAACAUCACUGAAUGGAGACAGACAUCCUCAGCACAGCUGAAAAACCUUUUGGAAAGCACAACGCUGCCGAAGGGUCCUGAGGAAGGAUAUGACAAUGUUCUGCGAGAUGUGGAAUCUGGUAGACUGCCUGCUUCCAGUGACCUGGGGACCCUGUCAGGUACAGUGAUGAGUUCAGUUUUAUCAAGGUCCAUAGCAAACUUCAGGUAGAUAGAUUAAAAUCUUGGAUCGAAAGCUUUGUCCAUACUGGGAGUUAACUUUUCUGUGUUGUAGUGGGCAGCACAGAAAACUUUAGUUCUGGCUUUAUUUUCUAAUUGUCACUUAAUGUUGAAAUAUUACUAUUUUUCUUCUACACCUGAAAGAGAAGUUUAAUAUGCCAGGGAUGUAGCAUAUAUCUUUGCACUGUUCUUGCGCUCUACUUUUCAGGACAGUUGUCAUCAGCCUAGUCUCAUCCUCUUUCUAGCUGUAAAUCUAAAUGCACUGUAAUUUUAUUGUCAUGGUCUUACAUGCCUUCACUUCUAUUCUGCAGAAUUAGCCACAAGUUUAAAAGUCCCCAAAAACAUGAUAUUCACCUUAUUUCAAUGUAACAUUCUACUGCAUUUUUAUUAUUUUUACUUUUAAUUUUCAUUUGCAGCCCCAAGAGCUAAAACCCCUCACAUUUUAAGUGAAAUAGUUGAGGAUUUAUAAUGUAAAAGUUGUGGUCUCCUGUGCCUGCAGGAGGUGAGACUUUCUCAGAAGUACUAGAAAUUGCUAAAAUGUAGAAAAAUUGAGUUUAGUAAAGUUCUGGCUGGUUUUCUUUAGUAAGAUGAACUGUUAGGCAAUAUGUACAGGGUUGUUAAGCUGGAUGUAGGAGAGUUCAGUUUCAAAAGAGGCUAUAGGGUACAGCUGUGUGCUAACUGAUUAUUCAUUAAAAGCCAAUUCCAGUUUCACUGUUCUGACUGUCCUCAUGAGAGCUACAGGAGAAACAAAUGGGAGAAUACAUUUUUAAAAGCAGAUAUCUGCAACCUGACAUUGGGAAUACAGAUGGUUACACAUGCUGGGCAGUUUUGUUUGGUAUUGUGUUUUGCUUAUAAUUGCUUUGAAAGUGAGUUAAAGUAAAGCAAUGUUCUUUUGUUUCUGUUUUGUUUUUUUCUUUUUCACAGAUCAUAAUUUCUGCUAGUUUUAGCUUCUUCUCCCUGUAAUACCAUAGGCUUAUAGUCACCUCUCAGCU
ensembl:lncRNA